rnacentral:rRNA from 1 species
GACGAACGCUGGCGGCGUGCUUAACACAUGCAAGUCGAACGGAAAGGCCCUGCUUUUGUGGGGUGCUCGAGUGGCGAACGGGUGAGUAACACGUGAGUAACCUGCCCUUGACUUUGGGAUAACUUCAGGAAACUGGGGCUAAUACCGGAUAGGAGCUCCUGCUGCAUGGUGGGGGUUGGAAAGUUUCGGCGGUUGGGGAUGGACUCGCGGCUUAUCAGCUUGUUGGUGGGGUAGUGGCUUACCAAGGCUUUGACGGGUAGCCGGCCUGAGAGGGUGACCGGCCACAUUGGGACUGAGAUACGGCCCAGACUCCUACGGGAGGCAGCAGUGGGGAAUAUUGCAUAAUGGGCGGAAGCCUGAUGCAGCAACGCCGCGUGCGGAAUGACGGCCUUCGGGUUGUAAACCGCUUUCGCCUGUGACGAAGCGUGAGUGACGGUAAUGGGUAAAGAAGCACCGGCUAACUACGUG